UCUCUCAUGGCGUAGGGGUAACGCGCCCUAACUAGCGAUCAGGGAGUUGUGAGUUCGAUUCUCACUGAGAAGA
rfam:Aedes aegypti strain Liverpool supercont1.123 genomic scaffold, whole genome shotgun sequence.